CUCAAAAUGAAUAAAUAAACAUAGUGCCUGUGGCAGUGCCUCAUAGGCUUGAUGCAUUAAAUUUCACUCACUUGUGCUACCAGUGCAUGUAAUUUGGGUAACAUUGCAAGCAUGGUCACAGCAACAACAAUGAAAAAGUCAAAGAAGAGGUUGGAUUGGUGGACUAGGAAAAGCCUAAGAAAACAGAAUUUUUAUUAAAUUCCAUCUAAUUCAAUUAAUUUUCUUGAGGCUAAUUGUGGUUUCCUCUUCUUCUCAUCUAUAUUAGUAAAUUUUAGGGUUUUCACCUAAAUGCAACCAUGUAUUUGACAUUACCAAUAACUUUUUGAAUUUAAUGGAGUGUCAAAUUUUGGAGAAGAGUGGAGUGACAUUUUCAGAGCUUUGGCUUGCAAGUGAAAGUCCUAGCUUAUUUUCCAUGCAAAGUUUGUCUUGAGAUGCCCGAUUUUGGUAAUAUUUUUUUAUUAAUGAAGUGUAAUUGAAUCAUACAUCAGUUUGCAGGCUUGGAUUCCAUACCAUAGCAUUACUUUCGUAAUGCUGCAAAUGUUGGUUAUUAAGGCCUGACAAUAUGGAUAUACAUUUUCAGGAUCCUGUUGCACAGACUGCAAUGAAUGUCAUGUGCUGAUGUCCUUUAAUGGAUGGGAACAUCCAAAUUGCUUUGGGCAUAAGACAAAAUUUUUACCAAGUGUCUUACAGUCAGUUUAUUUGUAUUUGUAUUUUAGAUUUUUCUUGGGUAUGUUUAGAUCAUAGUAUUUCUGGAUCUUAAAUCAGGGAUUUCUAAUUAAGUGUAUGCAUUUGCUUUCUUUUUUAUGUUUUUAGAUUAAGUUUUGUGUGUGGAUUUGCAUUUGUAAAUUUCUUGUUGAGUAAAUAAUUUAUCUGUUAAUUAAUGACAUGCAAUUAAAUAUUACAUUAUUGUUGGUGUGCAGAAAUUUUGGAUCUUCUGAUGA
rnacentral:misc_RNA from 1 species